GCGGAGGAAAAGAAACUAACAAGGAUUCCCCUAGUAACUGCGAGUGAAGCGGGAAAAGCUCAAAUUUAAAAUCUGGCGGUUCUUGGGCCGUCCGAGUUGUAAUCUAGAGAAGUGUUACCUGCGUCGGACCGUGUACAAGUCUUCUAGAAUGGAGCAUCAUAGAGGGUGAGAAUCCCGUCUUUGACACGGACUACCGAGGCUUUGUGGUGCGCUCUCAAAGAGUCGAGUUGUUUGGGAAUGCAGCUCAAAAUGGGUGGUAAAUUCCAUCUAAAGCUAAAUAUUGGCGAGAGACCGAUAGCGAACAAGUACCGUGAGGGAAAGAUGAAAAGAACUUUGGAAAGAGAGUUAAACAGUACGUGAAAUUGCUGAAAGGGAAACGCUUGAAGUCAGUCGCGUUGGCCGGAAAUCAGCCUUGGUUUCUUCCUUGGUGUAUUUUCUGGUUGACGGGCCAGCAUCAGUUUUGACCGGUGGAAAAAGUUGUAGGGAAUGUGGCAUCUUCGGGAUGUGUUAUAGCCUUACUUCGUAUACAUCGGUUGGGACUGAGGAACUCAGCACGCCGCAAGGCCGGGGUUCGCCCACGUUCGUGUCUUAGGAUGCUGGCAUAAU
rnacentral:rRNA from 1 species